CCCGUGCUACAACCGCACGAUUCAGGUGUUAAGUUUUUGCCAUGGUCGCAAAACCCCUGCAAUUGGCGAGUCUGAGUAAAGUC
rfam:Bacillus shackletonii strain LMG 18435 super11, whole genome shotgun sequence.